rnacentral:rRNA from 1 species
GAUGAACGCUGACAGAAUGCUUAACACAUCAGCAAUUGGUUGGUGGCGGACGGGUGAGUAACGCGUAAAGAACUUGCCUCUCAGGUAGGGACAACAUUUGGAAACGAAUGCUACUACCUAUUACUGUGAGGGAGCUGUGCGUCCCAUUAGCUAGUUGGAGCGGGAACGGCGCGCCACGGCGAUGAUGGGUAGCCGGCCUGAGAGAGUGAUCGGCCACAAGGGUACUGGGACACGGCCCUUACUCCUACGGGAGGCAGCAGUGGGGAAUAUUGGACAAUGGACCAAAGUCUGAUCCAGCAAUUCUGUGUGCACGAUGAAGUUUUCGGAAUGUAAAGUGCUUCAGUUGGGAAGCGGUACCAAAAGAAGAAGUGACGGCUAAAUACGUGCCAGCAGCCGCGGUAAUAC